UUAGCUCAAUCGGUAGAGCAUCUCGCUUACAACGAGAUUGUUGAGGGUUCAAGUCCUUCAUCACCCA